CCGGCUUCCUCCCACAAAGUCCAAAAACAUGUUGAGAGUCAGAGAGCCGUGUCUCUCUACAGUCAGAGGUUUUUGUACGACGCCUCAAUCAGUUUGUAUCACUGUGGUGGACUUUUGGUGGAGGAACCAGACUGGCUGUUGGAAGUAAGUUCAAUCAGAACUGUUUUUUUGGUGUUAUAUUUCUUUUUCUUGGCACGUCGUUUGUAUUCAUGUAAAAUAAACUUCUUUUCAUGUUAAUAUUAAAUUUGUUAACAAGUAGUUUUGCAGCGAGUCACAAAGUUCAUUUUAAAAAUGUAAAUUUUAAAAUUCAUUGCAGUGAGUCUAAAACUUCAGGAUGGUCCAGAGGACAAAUCAUUAUUUCUGGUUUAAUAGUUGAAUGUUGAGGGUUUGUAGGUUUAGUUCAGUCUGACAGUCAGAGAGCCGUGUCUCUCUACAGUCAGAGGUUUUUGUACGACGCCUCAAUCAGAUUGUAUCACUGUGGUGGACUUUUGGUGGAGGAACCAGACUGGAAUUCGGAAGUAAGUUCACAUUGUAUUUAAUACUAAAUAUGUUGUCGUAAAUAAUUUGUUUCUGAACCAUUUUGAUGGUUUGAUGUUGAGAAUAAAAUGUCAUUUUUUAAGUAUACCACAAAUUUAGUAGGAAUAUUUUUAUUGGCCUCAUGGAGGUUAACUCAGAUCAGCUUUUCUAAACUUCAUGUCCACAUUUAAUUUGAUGCUUAACUUUGAGGGAUACAAAAGAUAAAACAUUUUUCCUGCAAUGACAAUGAUGGUAUACAAUUUAAUGUUUUCAAGUUAAACUGAACAGUUUAUAAUUCGGUUUGAAUUCAUGUUACAUGAUGAUCAGAAUGCAGAACAUUUUAUGGUUGUGAGUUACUUUUCUUUACUUGUUUCUACUAAAUAUUUGAAAGUUAUGUUUAUUUAAGACUUUUGAAGAUUAGAAUUAAAAUUGUUGUUGUAAAUA